rnacentral:rRNA from 1 species
AGAGUUUGAUCCUGACAUAGGAUGAACUCUGGCACCAUGAUUAACACAUGCAAGAAAGAUAGGAAGUGGUGUUUCCAGUGGCGAACGGGUGAGUAACGCAUAAGAACCUGCCCUUGGGAGGGGAACAACAGCUGGAAACAACUGCUAAUAAACGGUAAGUUGAGGAGCAAAAGAAGGAAUCUGCCCGAGGAGGGGCUCGCAUCUGAUUAGCUAGUUGGUGAGGCAAUAACUUAUAAAGGAGAUGAUCAGUAGCUGGUCCGAGAGGAUGACAAGGACUUAGACACGGCCCAGACUCCUACGGGAGGCCACACUAGGGAAUUUUCUACAAUGGGCAAAAGCAUGACGGAGCAAUGUGACAUCAAAGUAGAAGUCCUAUGGGUCGUGAACUUCUUUUCCCAAAGAAAAAGCAAUGACGGUAUCUAGGGAAUAUGCAUCGGCUAACUCUGUGGCAACAACCACGAUAAGAAAAAGGAUGCAAGCAUUAUCUGAAAUGAUUGGGUGUAAAGCGUCUGUAGGUGGCUUUUUAAGUCCGCCGACAGUGACACUUAGAGACAAAAGCUAGGGUAGUGAAUGGAAUCUACCAAGCUAGAGUACGAAAGGGGCAUAGGGAAUUUCUAGUGGAGCAGUGAAAUGCGUAGAGAUCGAAAAGAGCACCAACUACGAAAGUACUCUACUGGGCAAACACUAACACUGAGAGACAAAAGCUAGGGGAGUGAAUGGGAUUAGACACCUUAGUAGUCCUAGCUGUUAAUGAUGGAUACUAGGAGUUGUGCGUAUCGACCCGUGCAGUGUUGUAACUAACAUGUUAAGUAUCCUGCCUAGGAAUUAAGUUCUCAAGAAUGAAACUCAAAGGAAUUGAUGAGGGCCAACACAAGCAGUGGAGCAUGUGGUUUAAUUCGAUGCAAAGAGAAGAACCUUGCUAGAGCUUGACAUGCCGCAAAUCCUCUAUAAAGAGAUGGGUGCCUUCGGGAACGUAGACUAGGUUGUGCAUGGCUGUCAUCAGCUCGUCCCAUAAGGUGUUGGGUUAAGUCCUGCAAAGAGCACAACCGUCAUGUUUAGAUGCCACCAUUGAGUUAAGAACCCUGAGCAGACUACCGGUGAUAAGCCGGAGGAAGGUGAGGAUGACGUCAAGUCAUCAUGCCUCUUAUGCCCUAGGCAACAAACGUGCUACAAUGGUCGGGACAAAGGGUCCUGAUCCCAUGAGGGUAAGCUGAUUCCAAAAACCCAUGUUCAGUUUGGAUUGUAAGCUUCAACUCGCCUACAUGAAGCCGGAAUCGCUACUAAUCGCUGGUUAGCCACACGGUGGUGAAUUCAUUGCUGGGCCUUGUACACACUGCUCGUCACACUAUGGGAGCUAGCAAUGCUCGAAAUCAUUACCUUGAUCGCAAAGUGGGGGAGGCCAAAGGUAGGGCUAGUGGUUGGAGUGAAGUUGUAACAAGGUAGCCAUACUGGAAGGUGUGGUUG